UUCCUAUCACGUCUCCAAUAGCUAGACGUACGGCAAGACUCUCCCUCUCCCUCCCUCCCUCUCGCUCGCUCGCUCAAAGCUAGUUCUUAGCAAUACUUUGUUGCUAUCACGACUGCAGAAUCAAGCAAGAUCAUUCAAUCGAAAUCAUUCUCUUCGUCUCUAUCAGAUUUGUUUGAACAGAGAGCUAAGGACACUUUCUAUCUAGUGAAUGGGAGGCUACUAGAAUUGAAGCAUUGCACUGGAUUUUCAACCUCUUCUGAACAGACAUCGUACUGAGGGCUGAAGGAAGCACCAUCAAAGGAAAGCACUUUCACUUGGACAAAUAAUCAGGAUCCAGGUACUAAGAUAUGCGCCAAAUUAGAUAGAGUACUUUAUAAUUCUGUUUUUUA